rnacentral:lncRNA from 1 species
AUCAGCUGCCCGGUCAGCAGCCCUGGCUAACUAAGACGCGUAGGUGGCAGAGACACUGACGCGGGAGGCCACAUGGAAGGGAGCCGCGCGAGUGAUCCGCGUGCAUAUGAUCGAACGACUGUGAUCCGUUCCCGCACGCAGGGACGGCCCAGAUUGAAUCGUAAUGAACGGUCCAGAUUCAUUUCCUAUUUAAUCGCAACUGGACGGUCCAGAUAAAAAACGCGCAGAGACGGCCCAGAUUGAAUCGCGAUGAACGGUCCAGAUUCAUUUCCUAUUUAAUCGCGACUGGAUGGUCCAGAUUAAAUGCGAUGAAUGGCUCAGAUCAAAAGUGGAUGGUUAUAAAUAAUCUCAUCUGCACCCAAACCCUAACCCUAGCCGCUAGAGCCCCUCACCGGAGAAGAUAGCUCAACCGUCGGGGAGCCGACCACCGCCACCCGCCACCGUACUGUAGCAAUUUUCAGCCGCCAAACA